rnacentral:rRNA from 1 species
CCUACGGGAGGCAGCAGUGAGGAAUAUUGGUCAAUGGGCGCGAGCCUGAACCAGCCAAGCCGCGUGAAGGAAGACGGCCCUACGGGUUUUAAACUUCUUUUAUAAGGGAACAAAGCGAGGCACGUGUCCCGUUUUGUAUGUAUAUUACGAAUAAGGAUCGGCUAACUCCGUGCCAGCAGCCGCGGUAAUAAGGAGGAUGCGAGCGGUAUCCGGAUUUAAUGGGUUUAAAGGGAGCGGAGGUGGGUUGUUAAGUCAGUUGGGAAAGGUUGCGGCUCAACCCUAAAAAUGCAAUUGAUACUGGCAGGCUUGAGAACAGUAGAGGUAGGCGGAAUUCGUGGUGUAGCGGUGAAAUGCUUAGAUAUCGCGAAGAACUCCGAUUGCGAAGGCAGCUUACUGGCCUGGCACUGACGCUGAUGCACGAAAGUGUGGGUAUCAAACAGGAUUAGAUACCCCAGUAGUC